UUGCGGUAAAAAAGCUCGUAGUUGGAUUUCUGUCUAGGGUGGCCGGUACCCACUAUGUGAAGUAUCUGGUUCAGUCUGGGCAUCCUCUUGGUGAUCGUUUCUGUGCUUGAUUGCAUGGGGCGGAAUUCAAGACUUUUACUUUGAGGAAAUUAGAGUGUUCACGGCAAGCUAUCGCCUUGAAUACAUUAGCAUGGAAUAAUAAUAUAGGGCGUAAGUUCUAUUUUGUUGGUUUCUAGAACAUACGCAAUGAUUAAUAGGGAUAAUUGGGGGCACUCGUAUUAACGCGUCAGAGGUGGAAUUCUUAGAUUGCGUUACGACGAACUACUGCGAAAGCAUUUGCCAAGGAUGUUUUCAUUGAUCAAGAACGAAAGUAUGGGGAUCGAAGACGAUUAGAUACCGUCGUAGUCUAUACCAUAAACUAUGCCAACUAGAGAUUGGAGGUCGUUUUUUUUAUGACUCCUUCAGCACCUUAUGAGAAAUCAAAGUCUUUGGGUUCCGGGGGGAGUAUGGUCGCAAGGCUGAAACUUAAAGGAAUUGACGGAAGGGCACCACCAGGAGUGGAGCCUGCGGCUUAAUUUGACUCAACACGGGAAAACUUACCAGGUCCAGACAUAGUAAGGAUUGACAGAUUGAUAGCUCUUUCU
rnacentral:rRNA from 1 species